rnacentral:rRNA from 1 species
CGUCUAAGUCGAACGGAAGAUCGUUGUAGCAAUACAAUUGUCAAUUAGUGGCGGACGAGUGAGUACAAGUAAGGAACGUACCCUGNNNUAUCGCAUAGCUCGUCCAAAGACGGGGUAAUACGAUAUGUGAACGCAAGUUCAAAGACGCAAGUCGCUUUAGGAGCGGCCUUAUACCUAUCAGCUAGUUGGUGAGGUAAAAGCUUACCAAGGCUACCACGGGUAGGGGGUGUGAGAGUACGACCCCCCCCGAUGGCACCGAGAUACGGGCCAUACACCCUACCGGGUGGGAGCAACUGGGAAUCGGUUGANAAUGGUGUGAAAUCCUGAUCACGCGACNACCCCGUGUGGGGAUAGAAAGGGCCUUCGGGUCGGUAAACCACUUUUGCCCAGUCUCUCCAACNUUGGCAAAA